AAGACGAUCCGGCACGUGCCGUUUUCUUUUCACAUAAUUCAGGUCAUUAACCUUGAAUAAUUGAGGGAUGACCUCAUUUAAUCUCCAGUAGCAAAUUUGACCUGUAAUGGGAGGAGUUAUGCGUCUGGAUCGUCUUAC
rnacentral:sRNA from 1 species